rnacentral:sRNA from 1 species
GUUGGCCUCAGAUCAGGGAGGAUUACCC